UUAGAAGUUAUCUGAGGGCUGGAAA
rnacentral:misc_RNA from 1 species